CACUUGGCUUUGAGGACGUCAUUGGUGGGAAUGCUAAUGAAGUCUUCAUUAUUUAGCAAAUGAGAGCAUUCCAACUUCCUUAUUUGAUUUCUUACUUCUCUGCAUACUGAAGGGAAGCCUGCAUAUAGGCAGAUCCCCACCUACUUACUCACAGUAAGUACCAAAUCAGUAUUCCAUAAAGUCAUGCUAUUCCCACCAGCUUUUUAUCCUAAUUAACUGAACACUCCAUGUAUAUUUAUUAUGAUCAAAAAAUAAAAGAUCAAUUUGAGAAAAAUUGUAAACAUAAAAGGAUGGAACCCAAACAAAAUCAAUUUUUUUUUUUCUGAAGGAAAUAAAAGUAAUGCAGGGGAAAAAAGAAAAUGUCUUUUUAAAAGAUGCACUAGUGAUAUCCUUAGAAGCUUAAGUGAAUAUUGUAUCAUACAAGUGAGUUUGUUAUGACAACAGAGACAUCAAGGAAAUUCUUAGAAAUUAAAAAUAUAGUUUUUAAGACCAAAACACUCAGAAUGACAGAAUAGUCAUACUGGAGACCACAUUCAUAAUAUGAAGAAAAAGUAAAAGGAAUCUUCAAGAGAGUAGAAUAUUAAGACAUGCAGAAAAUAUGAGAAGAAAAAUUUGAAGUCAUAGAGAAAGAAAAAAGAAAAAAAAUAGAGAAAAUGUACCUUUCUAAAAAGCUUUGGUCUUUAGAUCAAAAAGGCCCACCUAGGCUGGGUGCAGUGGCUCACUCCUAUAAUCUCGAUACUUUGGAAGGCCAAGGUGGGAGGAUCACUUGAGCACAGGACUUCAAGACUCAGUAUGUGCAACACACUGAGAACUUAUCUCUACCAAAAAAAAGUAAAUAAAUAAAUAAAAGUAGCCUGGUAUGGUGGCUCAUGCCUGUAGUCCUAGCUACUUGGGAGGCUGAAGCAGGAGGAUUGCUUUAGCCCAAGCAGUCAAGGCUGCAGUGAGCCAUGGUCACACAACUGCACUACAGCCUGAGUUACAGAGUGAGAUCUUGUCUCAAAAAAACCAAAACAAAACAAAAACCAACCAACCAAACAAACAAAAAAACAAGGCCCACCUAAAACUGAGUAGCAAUAAUUCUUAAAAAUACACCUAAUAUAUUCUUGUCAAUUUGUGAAAUUUAUGAACUCUAGAAAAAAAAGAAAAAUCCUAAACUUUUUAAGAGAGACAUCAGAUUUACUUGUAAAGAAAUAAGAAAAAGACUUCUCAUCUGCAACAGAGGAUAUCUACUAAAACUAAAGAAAAGGGAUUUUAAAACUCUCAUUCUGCAUGCAGCAAAAUUAUUAUCCAACAAUGCGAGCAAAAUGAAGACUUCCAAUCGUGCACAAAUUCAGGAAAUAUUUUACAUCUUCACACUCUGAAAAAAGUACCUAAUGAUUUCCUCCAGCAAAAUAACAAAAGAUAAGAAAUAAUGAGGAAAGACAACAACACAAAAACUAAAAAUAAAUGUCCCAAGUAGACCUAAAUUCCUCUAAUUUGUGUGGUGCCCGUAUGUAUGGUUAUAAGCAUGUCAGAGAAGAGAAGAUGAAGGUUACAUCAUUGUAAGAUUGACAGUUUGCAAGUAGCAGAUGCUUACAGGACAGGAGGCCAUGAGAUUUAAAGAUGCUGGUAAGGCAGUGUUUGAUGAUACAUCACCAGGUAGAAGAAAGAACUAAGUAUGGAAGGAAAUAAAAGCCCCAUUGGGGAAUCAAUGGAAAGGAGAACAGAGACGAAUCAAGGUAAGAGAACAUGAUGAUGCUGGUGAUGUUGAGGUUGUAUAGCAAGAGUAGGAGAAUGAGAGAGACUGAGACACUGUUGUUAGCUGAGAAGGAGACAAUGGAAGUUUGUGCCCACAAACUCUACUUGGAGG
rnacentral:lncRNA from 10 species